AUUGAACGCUGGCGGCAUGCCUUACACAUGCAAGUCGAACGGUAACAGGUCUUCGGAUGCUGACGAGUGGCGAACGGGUGAGUAAUGCAUCGGAACGUGCCCAGUAGUGGGGGAUAGCCCGGCGAAAGCCGGAUUAAUACCGCAUACGACCUGAGGGUGAAAGGGGGGGAUCGCAAGACCUCUCGCUAUUGGAGCGGCCGAUGUCAGAUCAGCUAGUUGGUGGGGUAAAGGCCUACCAAGGCAACGAUCUGUAGUUGGUCUGAGAGGACGACCAGCCACACUGGGACUGAGACACGGCCCAGACUCCUACGGGAGGCAGCAGUGGGGAAUUUUGGACAAUGGGCGCAAGCCUGAUCCAGCAAUGCCGCGUGCAGGAAGAAGGCCUUCGGGUUGUAAACUGCUUUUGUCAGGGAAGAAAUCUUCUGGGUUAAUACCUCGGGAGGAUGACGGUACCUGAAGAAUAAGCACCGGCUAACUACGUGCCAGCCGCCGCGGUAAAAC
rnacentral:rRNA from 1 species